CAGGCUUAACACAUGCAAGUCGAGGGGCAUCAGGAAGAAAGCUUGCUUUCUUUGCUGGCGACCGGCGCACGGGUGAGUAACACGUAUCCAACCUGCCCUUUACUCGGGGAUAGCCUUUCGAAAGAAAGAUUAAUACCCGAUAGUAUAAUGAUUCCGCAUGGUUUCAUUAUUAAAGGAUUCCGGUAAAGGAUGGGGAUGCGUUCCAUUAGGUUGUUGGUGAGGUAACGGCCCACCAAGCCUUCGAUGGAUAGGGGUUCUGAGAGGAAGGUCCCCCACAUUGGAACUGAGACACGGUCCAAACUCCUACGGGAGGCAGCAGUGAGGAAUAUUGGUCAAUGGGCGCUAGCCUGAACCAGCCAAGUAGCGUGAAGGAUGAAGGCUCUAUGGGUCGUAAACUUCUUUUAUAUAAGAAUAAAGUGCAGUAUGUAUACUGUUUUGUAUGUAUUAUAUGAAUAAGGAUCGGCUAACUCCGUGCCAGCAGCCGCGGUAAUACGGAGGAUCCGAGCGUUAUCCGGAUUUAUUGGGUUUAAAGGGAGCGUAGGUGGACUGGUAAGUCAGUUGUGAAAGUUUGCGGCUCAACCGUAAAAUUGCAGUUGAUACUGUCAGUCUUGAGUACAGUAGAGGUGGGCGGAAUUCGUGGUGUAGCGGUGAAAUGCUUAGAUAUCACGAAGAACUCCGAUUGCGAAGGCAGCUCACUGGACUGCAACUGACACUGAUGCUCGAAAGUGUGGGUAUCAAACAGGAUUAGAUACCCUGGUAGUCCACACAGUAAACGAUGAAUACUCGCUGUUUGCGAUAUACAGUAAGCGGCCAAGCGAAAGCAUUAAGUAUUCCACCUGGGGAGUACGCCGGCAACGGUGAAACUCAAAGGAAUUGACGGGGGCCCGCACAAGCGGGGGAACAUGUGGUUUAAUUCGAUGAUACGCGAGGAACCUUACCCGGGCUUAAAUUGCAGUGGAAUGAUGUGGAAACAUGUCAGUGAGCAAUCACCGCUGUGAAGGUGCUGCAUGGUUGUCGUCAGCUCGUGCCGUGAGGUGUCGGCUUAAGUGCCAUAACGAGCGCAACCCUUAUCUUUAGUUACUAACAGGUUAUGCUGAGGACUCUAGAGAGACUGCCGUCGUAAGAUGUGAGGAAGGUGGGGAUGACGUCAAAUCAGCACGGCCCUUACGUCCGGGGCUACACACGUGUUACAAUGGGGGGUACAGAAGGCAGCUAGCGGGUGACCGUAUGCUAAUCCCAAAAGCCUCUCUCAGUUCGGAUCGAAGUCUGCAACCCGACUUCGUGAAGCUGGAUUCGCUAGUAAUCGCGCAUCAGCCACGGCGCGGUGAAUACGUUCCCGGGCCUUGUACACACCGCCCGUCAAGCCAUGGGAGCCGGGGGUACCUGAAGUACGUAACCGCAAGGAUCGUCCUAGGGUAAAACUGGUGACUGGGGC
rnacentral:rRNA from 1 species